rnacentral:rRNA from 1 species
GAUGAACGCUGGCGGCGUGCCUAAUACAUGCAAGUCGAGCGAACAGACGAGGAGCUUGCUCCUCUGACGUUAGCGGCGGACGGGUGAGUAACACGUGGAUAACCUACCUAUAAGACUGGGAUAACUUCGGGAAACCGGAGCUAAUACCGGAUAAUAUAUUGAACCGCAUGGUUCAAUAGUGAAAGACGGUUUUGCUGUCACUUAUAGAUGGAUCCGCGCCGCAUUAGCUAGUUGGUAAGGUAACGGCUUACCAAGGCGACGAUGCGUAGCCGACCUGAGAGGGUGAUCGGCCACACUGGAUCUGAGACACGGUCCAGACUCCUACGGGAGGCAGCAGUAGGGAAUCUUCCGCAAUGGGCGAAAGCCUGACGGAGCAACGCCGCGUGAGUGAUGAAGGUCUUCGGAUCGUAAAACUCUGUUAUUAGGGAAGAACAAAUGUGUAAGUAACUGUGCACGUCUUGACGGUACCUAAUCAGAAAGCCACGGCUAACUACGUG